CACGCCGUUAUAAGGCUUUCUUCUACUGCAAUUCAAUGAGCUUCAUGUCAUCGAUUGCCCUAAUUAUACUCCUUGUGAAUCCGAACCUGUACAGGCCAGCCAUACGAAGUUAUGCUCUCUCAGUUUGCACUGCGGUAGGCAUGUUUGCGCUUUUGUGUGCCUAUGCUGCUGGAAGCACUCAGCACCUGAAAACAUCCAUCUAUAUCUUUGGUUUGGUGCUGUUGGUAUUCUUCAUUAUGAUCGUACUCCUAAUAUAUUCCUAUUGGAGACAGAAAAGAAUCAUGUCACAUAACAAAGAAGAUACAGAAAAAGGAAAGUCCCCUGGCACACAAAAUGAGGAUAUCACAAAACAAGACAGUAAAACAGUGAAGCCUACUGGGACAAAAUCUGAUGUAGAAAUGGAAGAAGAUGACAUAACAGCGAAGUCCACUAAGUUAAAAGAAAAUGACAGCACAGGAAAGUCCUCUGAAAUAGAAGAUGAGGGUGAAGCCAAACAAAAUAGAUUAGAACAUUCUAUUGAGAGAGCAAAACAAGAAACAGCCACAGAGUCUCCCAAGAAAGAGGACAAAUCAAAAAAGAAACAUGCCACACGCAAAUACUUGAUGCUGCUAGGAGUCUUGGCUGCAAGUGUUACUUACCAGGCCGGUCUCAACCCACCCGGCGGUGUGUGGCAGGGAAAUAGUAAUGAUCAUGCAGCAGGUAACCCAGUUAUGCAUGACAAAAAAAGAUACCGUUAUCUCAUCUUCUUUUACAGCAACUCUACUUCAUUUGUGGCAUCCAUUGUUGUUAUCAUCCUGUUGCUACCAGAGAAACUGCUGGGGGAGGCAUGGUCACUUAAUGUGAUGAACAUAACGAUUGUGUUGGACUUACUUGGCCUCCUACUAGCCUACAUGGCUGGCUCAAGAAUGAGGUUGCAGUCUUCUGGAUAUUUCGUCGUGUUUGUUAUAGGUGCACUAGGCUUUGCUGCAAUUCACAAGAUUUGGUCAUAUUUGCAAAGGAAAAGAAAUGAUCAGCACAGACUGUUAGACCAACCCAGAUAGUCAAGUUAGGGAGUUUAGAUGUUCUAGUGUGCUUUGUAAUUCUAUCCAUCCAUGCUUUCUUUGUUUAGUCGGAUGCAUUAUGUUCCAAUAUAUCAUUAGCUGGUUAAAGUCAGACUCAAUCACGCUACUACUUCAUUCUUAUCUCCCCAUUAACAGCCCAUAAAUCAAACAAGAGCUACAAAUGUUAAAAGUUAAAUCGCUAUACAUAUUAACUUAAGUGCUUUCUAAAAUUUUUAGGACUUUAAUUAACUCUGUAUUUUUUGAAAGCCCUUACCCAUUUUCAGAAUCCAAAACAGAUUUUUCUUUUCCAAAUUUUCAAAAGUAUGUGACAGAUUAAGUCUUGUACUUAAUAUAUGCUUAGUAUCUAUUUUGGAAAAUACUUGGGUGCCUUAGGAUAUAAGCUACUAGUCCAUAUGUCUUAGUGUGUAAGCUACCUUUGUGGCUUAGGGUGUAAGCCACUAGUCCAUAUAUAUGUAUCCAAACCAUCCAUGGUUGAGGUUGAUGCUGAUGGAAAUGAAAAACUAGCCCAAAACCUGUGUUUGUGUGCUAACAGUAUGGAAAUAUUUUUCGGGGGAGAUAUGGAAACAUGUUGGAGGGUUUCAAAUGGUCCAGUUCGCUGCUGUGAUCAGUGUUCUUAAGGUGACAAGGCGAGGCAAGGUGACCGACCCCUGCUCAAUUGCCUAGGCGACGCCUUAAGCGUUUAAGGCGAGGAUAAGGCAACGCCUUACACACAGGCACAAGAGGCAUACUAGACAUAUAUGAGACAAAAAAGAGAGGAAGAACAUGAAGGGGUGAGGAAGAGCAGGGAGACAGAUCCGUUAGAGAAGAAGGGAGCAGCAGGAGGGAGACAACCAUCUUCUCUUUCCAUCUUUCCCCCUCUUCUCUCUCCAAUCUCUGCCCGUCCUAUUCUUUAUUCUCUUUCCAUCUUUCACCCUUCCCUCUCCCUAAAUUGUCGCACAUGCGAUUUCCAUCCUAUCUUAACGCGAUUUUCUUCCCAGCAUGCAUAAUUCCCUACAGCGCAUGCGCCCUUGACCCCCCCCCCCCCCCCCACCUUGCCCGUGUCUACCUGAUUUCACAAUAUAUUAGAAUCCAAGACGUGUAGAAGGGUAGGCGGUGGGGACGCUCUGAUCCCUGAUGGCGCUCAGACGCCUAGGCGAUGCUUUUAAAACCAUUGGCUGUGAUAUUUUUGAACUGCAUAUUUUUGCUAUUACAUGGAAAACAUACAUUGAUAGUCUCAUACACACCAUUAAGCAUGCACACAACACUCACAAACCCAUAAGUGCACCCCCUGAUACAUGCUCAAAGAGAAGGAGCCAGCGACAAAUCCCUGACUUCACUAAAUUCCCAUUGAAAGUACACCAUGUGUGUGUAAUAUAUGUGGGCACUAAUAUUUAAAUCCUAGUGGGUGGAAUCAUGCACUCGACUCCACCACCACACAUUUGGUGUUUCCCCAUUUUUGAACUGCAAUUGAUAUCUUUUCAAUCUUAAAAGUUAACAUAUUUUCUGGAAGGGUUUUUCUCCGUAACAUUUCUUUAGAAAAGUUUGUCAGUACCAAAAUAAAAGUGAUUUUAAUGGCUAGGAUCUUAUAGAGGAGUGAACAUAUGUCACUUGCUUAUAAAGUAUGAAAAACUACGAACAAUUGUUGUUUAUUUAUCUCUCUAAUAAAAUUUCUGUCUUCCUGGGCCCAAACCUAGCUCAGCCCAGUCUUCUGCUCGUCCCCUCAGCCCAGUGCGGUCUCCACUUCAGUCCAAGCAUGGAAUCAGCAAUGAAGACCAAAGAUAUGUGAUUAGGGAUGAGCAAGGGUCAGGCGACCCAUUUUAGUUCAUCUUUAUGAACAUAACUAAGUGUAUAUAUACAAAAUUGAACACCACAUGGACCAGAUGUGAAGUGGGGGCCAUAGCCAGGCUCAACCCUACACCUCAAAACAUAUUUCUGUAUAGUGCAAAAUUUCCUGCAUCCAGGACUCAGCUAUCAUGAUUCAUGAUCUUGCAUACAUCUAGACAGGCCAUAGAUCAGUCCUAAAGUUGUGAUUGUAUACAAUAUAAUGGGUACAAAAAGAGCUGCCAAAUAUAAUUCUUGCUGAUUUUGCAAAGAAAUGAAGAGGAGAGAAGUGCAUCUCAUUAUAUCCUAAAGAGUAAAAACUAUCAACUUCUGCUGGUCAUUUAAAAAUAAUCCACUUCUGCUGGCAUUCACUAUCAAUGUACUUUGAACAUCGAUCCAGAAGCAAUUGAAUAGUCUGAAUGAGGGAACAACCUACAACUACAUGAUAUAUUAUAGUGUAAAUUCACAAAUGGCCAGGGCCUAGUGGAAAUCAUGAAGAACUUUGGCCCGGCAUCCAUGUGGUUGAACCUCAUGAAGAUUUUGCUAUUUCAUUUGCAAAUAGUCGGAUGUAUGUAUCAGUUAAGACGGGACGAAACAAAUAACUGGUACUGGAAUGCAAUGCACAUGGAUCAGAAAUAAAGAACACAAAGGUCAUGUACAAGAAACAGAUAAGUGGAGGCUAAACAGUUGUUUUUUAACUGAUUUAUAAGAAACAUGUGCGACUAUGUCCCAAGAUAAUCCAUAAGAAACAUUGUUCUCUUACAGGCUACUGAAAAUUAGUCAGGGUUGCAAGCAACAGAUAAGAAACUGUAACAGUAGUAGUAAGUUUGUGACAUUCGUUGGGCUAUUUCGGCACAAUCUAUCGAAUCGACUAUAUAAUUUGCCUCCUCUGUGAGGAAAAUGCAGGGGGUUAGUGCAUACGAAUGUGUGAAGCGGUACACCACUGAUGAACAAUGCAAUUACAAACAGCCGAGGACAGAGCAGGAGGAAGGAGAUGAAAAGGAGGAGCGAUUAAUUAGGGCGAGUAGCUCACCUGUGACGACUCUCGCGUAGCCAGCAGAACGUGUACGGUGGCGGCUGCCCCUUCCCCCAUCGGUGCGCGAGGCGAGGGGAUGAAUCGAAGAGGCCAAGGGAGGAGUUUAACCAUCAUGGGUUCAUGGCCUUGUAUGCUCCCGCCGCCGCCGGCACUUGUGGUGGUGGUGGUGGCGGCGGGUGGUAGCCGAUCGGAAUGCCGGCGCAGGUGGGCGGCGCCGCGGUAGGUCAAAGGGGAUCGGGGGAGGGCUCGCGCUGCGGGCUGCGGCAAGCUGGAGGGGGAGCGAGAUGCUGGGAGUGGGAGGUCGAUUCGCGGGGCGGAUGAUCAGGGACUGACACAUCGGCAGUUCGAGCCGUCUGCCCGUCC
rnacentral:lncRNA from 1 species